AUGUUAGAUGACUACCUAAAGCAGGCGAUUACACAGUUGGAAAUUACUGUGAAAUUUACUUUCAGCCUGAAAACACUGAGCAAAAACAGUAAUGAAACAAUUCACGGGAAAAAAAAAAAGAAAAACCACAACUCGUCUAGUACGUUCUACCUGUUCGUUUUUGGUGAGGUGGAGGAUUCGGUGAGCGAUUCGUCAGGCCUGUACCAAGGCCUCCGUUAUGACGUCAUCGGAUUUUCACAGAACGAUCUGGAGGAGAAUCGGAUUACACACAGGGGCUCACACACAUGUUGUGGUCUGAAGAACAUAAAAAUCCAUGGCAACACAAAGCGAAGGGUGCUACUUCUGCCACUCUCCAGGACUCGGCUUGUUCCCGUUGACGAAUUAGCUGCUGCCUUUUGCUUCCUUCAUGAUGACGCACGUGAAGCACUGGACAAGAAAACAGACAGGUCCAGGGCAGACGCUGGCCCCGGCAGCGGGAGCGCGACACUCCCGUGAGCCGAAGGUCGCGCGACAUCUGGCUGGCAACCCCACCGAGAAGAUGUGGUCACUUAGCAGCCCAGCCAACGAUGUGGGGUUUGAAAAACACAUCUGAAAGGAUUGUGUCCGUAGCGUAGAGGACGAAACGUGUAAAUGUUCCUCAACCGUCCAAUAAGGAUGCGGUGCCGCAGCCCUAUUUGUUGCCCCCCGUCAUCGCCUUCCUUCGGAGGGGCCCUUCUGCACGAAGCGCCUCCUCGAGAAUCCGUGCUUAAUUUUAACUGCCGCCUCCCGCUAAAGUAAAGAAUCGGUUUCCGAAGACUUUCGUUAAUCGUGGUAAGCGGGGGGCUGUGGGCCGUACUGUAUUACCUCCCUUUCAGAAACGGAGCGCUUUCACGGUCUGCACGGCAUAGGAAGAGGAAACCGUUCCGGAGAGAGGGCUGUUUACCGCCGCUGCUGGUUCUAUGUUGUCUGGUGCCGCAGGGAAAGAAAAAAAACGCAAUAACACACAAUUAUGUUUUUGCUGUAGCUGGUCUUAAAGUGCCGCAAUCAUCUCCAGAUCGCGCACGAUCAUUUUCAGUAUGAGGCAGAACUUGAAAUGCGUUAACUCCCGUUCCCCGGAUUCAAUUAAACUCUCGCAAUAACGAUAAUUUGCCAAAAAUCAGCCGUUUGCGAGAUUGCCAGCCGUUUCUUUCAGUUUCCUAUAUGACACCCAGCUACGGCACACACGCUGCUGCAUCUACUGGAUGCCGUUUUUAAGUCGACCGCAGAAAACUGCACAGCCUGGACACGGGAGACGUUCUGCAGCGCGCUGAAUUACCACCUUUAUUUCCGCUGACGGUGAACAUGCUCUACCUUGGCACGUAACUAACGGUGAAUGUGAAAUAAGCGAGCGUUCAAAGUCGGCGUGUUUUAGUCCAUCAAAGUGGAGCGCUGAAAAGCCUCGUUACCGUGUUACUUUGCAAGUACUCUCUGUAGGAACACUGUAAAAGGCUGGGUAAAAAUAAUUACACGCGCAAAUAGCUCUGGACUUGAAGAUUGUUUUCUGAGAUAAAAUCAUUAACUUGUGCGGUAUGGAUUAAACUGCCUUUGACUGGUCUUCAUCUGAGGAGAUCCAUGGACGUGAGAUUAGGCAAGCCGUCAGAGGACCGUGCGUUCCGUCCGAGGCGCACGUUACGGAUUCCGUUUUCAAAGACUCGGAGGAUGAAGGUUUUUAUGACUGCUAGAAGCACGGGAAGUGCAAUGCAGGGGGGAUAUGAUGAAGGAUCAAUACCCCGAUGGCAUUUCCCAACAAAUAAAAAGAGAUGUGAAAACGUGCGGUCA
ensembl:lncRNA